UACGUAGGGUGCGAGCGUUGUCCGGAAUUAUUGGGCGUAAAGAGCUUGUAGGCGGUUUGUCGCGUCUGCUGUGAAAUUCCAGGGCUUAACCCUGGGCUUGCAGUGGGUACGGGCAGACUAGAGUGUGGUAGGGGAGACUGGAAUUCCUGGUGUAGCGGUGAAAUGCGCAGAUAUCAGGAGGAACACCGGUGGCGAAGGCGGGUCUCUGGGCAGUAACUGACGCUGAGGAGCGAAAGCGUGGGUAGCGAACAGG
rnacentral:rRNA from 1 species